rnacentral:miRNA from 1 species
GCUAAAUUAACCAAAUGCCAAUUUAGAAAUAAGCUCGCCCCAUUCCUCUGUCAUUUGUCGCGCGCCGCAAGCACUCGAUGAAAAGCAUAGUGUAUGUGGCACACGACAAAUGAGAGAGGAAUGGGGCGAGUUUAUUUAUAAAUUGACAUUUGGUUCAUUUUA